CGGAGGCAGCAGUGGGGAAUAUUGCUUAAUGGGCGCAAGCCUGAAGCAGCAACGCCGCGUGUGCGAUGAAGGCCUUCGGGUCGUAGAGCACUUUUAGCAGGGAAGAGGAAGGACGGUACCUGCUGAAUAAGCCUCGGCUAACUACGUGCCAGCAGCCGCGGUAAAACGUAGGAGGCGAGCGUUAUCCGGAUUUACUGGGUGUAAAGCGCGUGCAGGCGGUUUGUUAAGUUGGAUGUGAAAGCUCCUGGCUCAACUGGGAGAGGUCGUUCAAGACUGGCAGACUGGAGAGCAGUAGGGGAAGAUGGAAUUCCGGGUGUAGUGGUGAAAUGCGUAGAUAUCCGGAGGGACGCCAGUGGCGAAGGCGGUCUUCUAGACUGCAUCUGACGCUCAGACGCGACAGCUAGGGUAGCAAACGGGAUUAGAUACCCCGGUAGU
rnacentral:rRNA from 1 species